AGGCAGCAGUGGGGAAUAUUGCACAAUGGGCGAAAGCCUGAUGCAGCGACGCCGCGUGAGGGAUGAAGGCCUUCGGGUUGUAAACCUCUUUCAGCAGGGAAGAAGCAGUUGGGUUUUCUCAGGUGUGACGGUACCUGCAGAAGAAGCACCGGCUAACUACGUGCCAGCAGCCGCGGUAAUACGUAGGGUGCAAGCGUUGUCCGGAAUUAUUGGGCGUAAAGAGCUUGUAGGUGGUUUGUCGCGUCUGUUGUGAAAUUUCGGGGCUCAACCCCGAACUUGCAGUGGAUACGGGCAGACUAGAGUGUGGUAGGGGAGACUGGAAUUCCUGGUGUAGCGGUGAAAUGCGCAGAUAUCAGGAGGAACACCGAUGGCGAAGGCAGGUCUCUGGGCCAUUACUGACACUGAGAAGCGAAAGCAUGGGGAGCGAACAGGAUUAGAUACCCUGGUAG
rnacentral:rRNA from 1 species